rnacentral:rRNA from 1 species
UACGAAGGGUGCAAACGUUGCUCGGAAUCAUUGGGCGUAAAGCGCACGUAGGCGGCUCCGCAAGUCGGAUGUGAAAUCCCUCGGCUCAACCGAGGACGUGCAUCCGAAACUGCAGAGCUUGAGUAUGGAAGAGGGUCGCGGAAUCCCCGGUGUAGAGGUGAAAUUCGUAGAUAUCGGGGGGAACACCAGUGGCGAAGGCGGCGACCUGGGCCAAUACUGACGCUGAGGUGCGAAAGCGUGUGGAGCAAACAGG